UACGGGGGGGGCAAGCGUUGUUCGGAAUUACUGGGCGUAAAGGGCUCGUAGGUGGCCAACUAAGUCAGACGUGAAAUCCCUCGGCUUAACCGGGGAACUGCGUCUGAUACUGGAUGGCUUGAGUUUGGGAGAGGGACGCGGAAUUCCAGGUGUAGCGGUGAAAUGCGUAGAGAUCGGGAGGAACAUCAGUUGCGAAGGCGGCUCUCUGGACCAGCACUGACACUGAGGCACGAAAGCGUGGGGAGCAAACAGG
rnacentral:rRNA from 1 species